UACGUAGGUGGCGAGCGUUGUCCGGAUUUACUGGGCGUAAAGAGCGCGCAGGCGGCCAAGUCAGUCGAAUGUGAAAGCCCCCGGCUUAACUGGGGAGGGUCAUUCGAUACUGCUCGGCUCGAAGACAGGAGAGGGAAGUGGAAUUCCCGGUGUAGUGGUGAAAUGCGCAGAUAUCAGGAAGAACACCCGUGGCGAAGGCGGCUCUCGUGGGACGGUACUGACGCUGAGACGCGAAAGCGUGGGGAGCGAACAGG
rnacentral:rRNA from 1 species